UACGUAGGCAGCAAGCGUUGUUCGGAUUUACUGGGCGUAAAGAGUGCGUAGGCGGUGCUCUAAGUUUGGUGUGAAAUCUCCCGGCUCAACUGGGAGGGUGCGCCGAAAACUGGAGUGCUUGAGUAUGGGAGAGGCAAGCGGAAUUCCUGGUGUAGCGGUGAAAUGCGUAGAUAUCAGGAAGAACACCCGUGGCGAAGGCGGCUCUCUGGGACGGUACUGACGCUGAGACGCGAAAGCGUGGGGAGCGAACAGG
rnacentral:rRNA from 1 species